ensembl:lncRNA novel transcript
GGAAGCAUUCAAGCCAGAAGGGGUUCAGAGAGCUCUGCCUAGCAAUGCAAGCAGCAAGCUUUUACAGGCUGAACACAGAAGCAAAGUAGAGAAAUCACCUGAUUGGUUACAGGAUGCAAGAGAAGAUAAGGAAGACAAGAUCUCAACCACUUUCAGCAAAGCUUUGCGGAGAAUGCAACAUCCUUCAAGACACCAUGAAGCUCCACGCAUCUGGUCAUCUUGUUUCUUCAGGGAAUAAAUUUAUUGUUCUCUGCUUCAGGGAAAAGCAGUUACAAAGUUUCCAACCAGCACAAAUUCCAUAGUCAGGUUUUCCACAUGUGGGGAAAUGACAGGGGUCAGCACAUCCAACGUGCAAUGGACAAGCCUUGCACUGGGUAAACCACGUUCAUGGUCAUGGAAUCUCAUUUACCAGAACUAGAAACAACUAUUUUAAAUUUCAUAUGGAACCAAAAAAGAGCUCGAAUAGCCAUGGCAAUCCUAAGCAAAAAGAACAAAGCUGGAGGCAUCAAGUUACCUGACUUCAAACUAUACUACAAGGCUACAGUAACCAAAACAGCAUGGUACUGGUACAAAAACAGACACACAGACGAACACAACAGAAUUGAGAGUCCAGAAAUAAUGCUACAGACCAACAACCAUCUGAUCUUUGAUAAAGUUGACAAAAACAAUGGAGAAAUAACUCCCUAUUCAACAAAUGGUGCUGGGAUAACUGGCUAGCCAUAUGCAGAAGAUUGAAACUGGACUCCUUCCUUACACCAUAUAUAAAAAUUAACUCAAGAUGGAUUAAAGACUUAAAUGUAAAACCCCAAACCAUAAAAACCCUGGAAGAUAAUCUAGCAACUACCAUGGUGGACAUAGAACCUGGCAAAGAUUUCAUGACAAAGACACCAAAAGCAAGUGUGACAAAAUAAAAAAUGGACACAUGGGACCAAAUUAAACUAAAGAGCUUCUGCACAGCAAAAGAAACUAUCAACAGAGCAAACAGACAACCUACAGAGUGGGAGAAAGUAUUUGUAAACUAUGCAUACAACAAAGGUCUAAUAUCCAGAAUCUGUAAGGAACUUAAACAAAUCAACAAGCAAAAAACAAAUCCCAUUAAAAAGUGGGCAAAGGACAGAAUAGACACUCUCAGAAGAUACACAUGUAGUCAACAAGCAUAUGAAAAAAUGUUCAACAUAACUAGUCAUUACAGAAAGGUAAAUCAAAACCAGGAUGAGAUGCCAUCUCACACCAGUCAGAAUGGCUAUUAAUAAAAAGUAAAAAAAUAA